AUAUAUAUAUAUAUAUAUAUAUACAGAGGUGUCGAAAGUAUUCACAUUCAUUACUCAAUUAGAAGUACAGAUACUAGGGUUUAAAAAGACUCCUGUAGAAGUUGAAGUAUCGACUCAGGCUUUUUACUUAAGUAAAAGUAUAAAAGUACUGGUUUCAAAACUACUUAAAGUAUAAAAGUAAAAGUAAUGUAAGAAAUUCCAAUAAGAACAAACUCUUAAUGCGUAACCUCGCUCACACAACACGUCCGUUACAAUGUGAUCAGAAGGCGCCUGCCGAUCACGUGACCUGCCGUUGGGACGGUGGAAACAACAACAACAACAACAACAAAUGUAUCUGACUUAACACAUAAAACCACAACCCAUUUUCCAGUGACACGAGUCACACACACGUUGUUUGCAUUGAUUAGUUGGACUGCAGUGUCUCCCCCAGGUUCACUACGUCACGGGGGGUCCUGACUUUCACGGGGUGGGGGGCGCACCGCUGUUUAUAAUGAUGGGAAACACUGAACUGGCAGCGGUCGGUUAUCCAAACAUUGGCCAAAUAACCCGUAUGUUCAGGCUUCAUGAGCAAAUACAGAAUCCCUUUGUGUUCAUUUCCAAAGCCGCAUUAAGACACACGUCACUUUAUUUAAUACGCAAGUCGCUGUGUUGUGCCAGACUCUCAAUAAAACAUUUAGGACAAACCCACGGUCACGAAGAUACUCAUUUAACGUUACAUGGAAUCUGCGUGAGGAAGAGGAGGAGGAGGAGGAGGGGGAAGAGGAGGAGGGUCCGUGUCGCUAAAUACCAACUUUCCAAAGACCACUUUUCCCACCCGGUGUCGCUCCGAUCUGCCGGCGCAUCGCAGAGAAAACCGAUCGGGUGUCUGGAUACUAAACGUUUAUACUUCUCAUCCAAACACAAUCACAUUCACUAUGUCCGCAUAGCGCCGUUUAUCUAGAUGGGUUUUUGUGUUUGUGUGUUUUUGAACUACGACAAGCCGGAGGUAACGAGGCUGUUUUUAAAAUGUAAGGAGUAGAAAGUACAGAUAUUUGCGUGAAAAUGUAAGGAGUAGAAGUAAAAAGUCGUCUGAAAAAUAAAUACUAAGUGUAUAAGUAUAGAUACCAAAAAUCUCUACUUAAGUACAGUAACGAAGUAUUUGUACUUCGUUACUUGACACCUCUGCUAAUUAUGAAUUCAUUUAAACAACAAUCUAGUUUUCCUUGUUCCUCAUUAUUUCUUUUUUUCACAGGUGGUUUCAUCAAUAAUUCAACAUAUUGAUAGGACUAUUGACAUUAAAGGAGUAUGUAAUACAUUACAUUGUUUAAUGUGAAUCCUAUUGUGAGCUGAUUUGUAAAAAAAUAAAAAUAUCAGUACAUUUGCAAACUGUUACAGCAACCAUAGUGUAGUAUAGUAUAUAUUUUCAGGUUGUUCAGCAG
ensembl:lncRNA